GGGCGAGUAGUUUAGUGGAUAGAGCGUCCGGCUACGAACCGGAAGGUCGGGGGUUCGAAUCCCUCCUUGCCCA
rnacentral:tRNA from 1 species